UACGUAGGGUGCGAGCGUUGUCCGGAAUUAUUGGGCGUAAAGAGCUUGUAGGCGGUUUGUCGCGUCUGCCGUGAAAAUCCGGGGCUCAACCCCGGACUUGCGGUGGGUACGGGCAGACUAGAGUGUGGUAGGGGAGACUGGAAUUCCUGGUGUAGCGGUGAAAUGCGCAGAUAUCAGGAGGAACACCGAUGGCGAAGGCAGGUCUCUGGGCCAUAACUGACGCUGAGAAGCGAAAGCGUGGGGAGCGAACAGG
rnacentral:rRNA from 1 species